ensembl:lncRNA DSCR9 Down syndrome critical region 9
ACUGUGCCUCCCGCCGCUGGCUGCCGCCCCAGCGCCAGCAGGACUCCGGCUUUGACUGGGGACUCACUGGAGGCCACAUCGCUUUUGCUUCCAGUUUCCAAACUGCCACCACCUCGAAACUGCCAGACCUUUGAAAGCUGAGGCACAGUGCCUCACCCCUUCCUUCAGAAGACUGUCCAGCUCCCCCUCCUUCCCCUCCUCCCUCCCCCACUGGGGACCUCUCCUAGGGGAGGGGUCUGGUGUCCUCAGCUGGCUCCUCUCCACCUUCGCUUCUACCCGGGGGCUCCAGUGCAUCUGGCUUUAUCUCUGGGGUGCUUCCAUACAAAGGGGACAGAAGAGAUGAUGGAAGGCCUCAGUACUGCAGGAGGGGAGACGGAUGUCAUCUACAAUCACACAAUACAUGGGAGGUCACAGGGUCUCGGGCCGGGUGCAGUGGCUCACUCCUCUAAUCUCAGCACUUUGGGAAGCCGAGGUCUACAACAUCCAGAGCAGCCACAUUGCAAGUGCUCAGUAGCCACAUGUGGCUGGCACAUGUGGCCCAUGGCAACUGUGCUGGACAUGGUGGGUCCAGACCUCACUUCAUUUUAUGUAUAAACACCAAGUAUCUUG